GAUGAACGCUGGCGGCGUGCCUAAUACAUGCAAGUCGAGCGAACAGACGAGGAGCUUGCUCCUCUGACGUUAGCUGCGGACGGGUGAGUAACACGUGGAUAACCUACCUAUAAUACUGGGAUAACUUCGGGAAACCGGAGCUAAUACCGGAUAAUAUAUUGAACCGCAUGGUUCAAUAGUGAAAGACGGUUCUGCUGUCACUUAUAGAUUGAUCCGUGCCGCAUUAGCUAGUUGGUAAGGUAAUGGCUUACCAAGGCAACGAUGCGUAGCCGACCUGAGAGGGUGAUCGGCCACACUGGAACUGAGGCACAGUCCAGACUCCUAAGGGGAGCAGCAGUAGGGAAUCUUACGCGAGGGGCGAGAGCCUGACGGAGCAACGCCGCGGGAGUGAUGAAGGUCUUCGGAUCGGAGAACUCUGUUAGUAGGGAAGAACAAAUGUGUAAGUAAAUGUGCACGUAUUGACGGUACCUAAUCAGAAAGCCACGGCUAACUACGUG
rnacentral:rRNA from 1 species